UGGGGAAUAUUGGACAAUGGGCGAAAGCCUGAUCCAGCCAUGCCGCGUGUGUGAAGAAGGUCUUCGGAUUGUAAAGCAAUUUAAGUUGGGAGGAAGGGCAUUAACCUAAUACGUUAGUGUUUUGACGUUACCGACAGAAUAAGCACCGGCUAACUCUGUGCCAGCAGCCGCGGUAAUACAGAGGGUGCAAGCGUUAAUCGGAAUUACUGGGCGUAAAGCGCGCGUAGGUGGUUUGUUAAGUUAGAUGUGAAAUCCCCGGGCUCAACCUGGGAACUGCAUUUAAAACUGACUGACUAGAGUAUGGUAGAGGGUGGUGGAAUUUCCUGUGUAGCGGUGAAAUGCGUAGAUAUAGGAAGGAACACCAGUGGCGAAGGCGACCACCUGGACUAAUACUGACACUGAGGUGCGAAAGCGUGGGGAGCAAACA
rnacentral:rRNA from 1 species